AGGAAACAAAGAGCUUGACCUUUGUUGGAAAUCAACCACUUAUUGAUCAUGGCAGCAAGAUAUGCUGUCCUUGGUACAUAAAUUCUGUGUGGACAUUGCAUCAAAAAUUUUCUAAGCGAUGAAUAGUGGAGAGCUUUUGGAUUUAUCAGCUACUCUCUGACCAAACAUGCAGACAACAAAUUUUGAAACUGUGGGAAUGCAAAAAAUAGAAUCAAAGGAAAGAAAGUAGGAAAUAGUUACGUAAAAGAAACAUCUCUCCCUGUAAAGCACCGUGCCUGUUCUGUGCUCUGCAUGCUAUAUGCCACUGUACAGUUCAAACGCUGGGAAAUGGGCUGGAGAUUGAAAUGCAGAUACACACAGAGACAGAGACAUGGGUCAUCCGUGAAACAAGAAUGCCAAGAAGACCAACUUGAAUCAAGAACACCAAACUUACCGUGUUCCAGGGGAGCUUAUACAGUGCAUUCCCUGACCAAUAUCCAUGCCAUCACUCAGAAUUUUAUUCUACCACCCCAGCAGAAACCCACUACCCUGCCAUCAGAAAAUACUGAUGAUCUCGUGUUCGGAGCAGCUGCAAAUACAGGAAAUAUGGUUGCCUUGCUCAAAACAGCUGCAAACACAGGAAAAACAAGCUGCUUACAGGAAAUUCAGAGAUUGGGGGUCCACAGUCUCCCAACAUGUGUCUACUCUGAAAAAUAUCCCAUAUGUUAUUUUCUGCUUUCAUGUUUAUAAAAUGCACAGAUUCAUGGAGGGCUCUGUCCAUGAACUUACAAUUUGAAUAUGAAAAAUUGAAUCUAUUUCUAGUAUAUACGUAUGAAAAAACCUGGUAUUCUAACAGUAUCAUACAGUCCUAGGACAUGAAUCAUAUGUAGUGAAUGCAGGAGCUCUGAGAUUUGUUUUUCCACAAUAGAUAGUCUAUUUUGACAGGCAAGCUUUGUAUAUCUGUUUCCAUUUCCCUAGAAUCAAGGCUUCUAAAAUACUUUACUCUAGCAUCAUUUGCAUAACUGGACAUUUGGGCCAUACUAAACUCAGUUUGCAUUUAAUUCUUUGAGUUGUUUGAAUGGGCUUAGGGUACCUAAUCUAUUAUUUAUCCUGAGCAUCCUUUUUUUCUAUUACUAAUAACAUUUCAAAGCAUUAUGCUUCUUCUUCUCUUAUUGUCCCUUACUGAAACUAGCUUUCUUGAGAGAUACACAAAAUUCUGAGUGCUUGCAACACUUCAGGAGUACUCUUCACCGUGGGUGGAUCUAAAGGAGCCCUUGUGGAGGAAGAGGAGUGCUUUUCUGAUAAGAGGAGAUGUACAGAGUUUCCUAAUUCAGUGACAGUGAUAUUGCUAAAUACCUCAAACUUUUGAGCUCCUGCUUAAUUUCUCCACCAGGUUUUUAACUUUUAUUCCACACUAGAAGCAAAGGAGUUGAAAACUCCUAAUUGUGGGACUUAGCAGCUUCUUUCUACAGCUCACCAGGCUCAGGCUGAUCAUAAUCACACAGUCUUGUAAUGCUUCCUCAUCUAGCAGCUUCUGUGGAGGAUUGGAGUGACUUGUCUUACUUCUAACCAUAUCAGGGAGAACAACCUUUUGCCUUUCAUGGUGUCAUUCCAAACUCUCCCUUAUAAUCACUCACAAAUUAAAAGAAUCUUUUGGGAUCCUUCCAAGCCUAUAUUUGUUAUUAUCGUCUUGGAUUUUCACCUCAAUUUUUCUGUGUCCAAGGUACCAUGCAUGGGAACUCAAGGGAGAGGUGCUUUACAAAUUCUAAAAAUUUCUGUUCUGGCCACUACUCCAGCUUAGCUCCUCAAUCUCUGAAAGUAUCUCCAAGCAAAUGCCAGUAGAUUAUUAAUUUUCAACCCCCAUAUUUACAAAUUUAUUUACAAUUAUAGUCCCAUGUUAUUCAACCUGUUGUAAUAAGAGC